UGUGUAAGCGAAGCGAUAAGUGGAGCGGUGAAAGGCUCAGUAACGGGCGAUUUAUUUGAUCUCCUGGGACGGACAACAUCGGGAAACUGAUGGGAAAACGUCUAAGUUGCAGUUUAUUGAUUGUGACGUAAACCUUUGUGUGCAGGAGAGUAAGAUGCCAUCCUAUCAGUUAGUAAGUAGGGUAAGGGCCUACUUAGACGAAGACGGGUACGGGGAAUGAGGGUUUGAUUCCGGAGAGGGAGCCUGAGAGAUGGCUACCAGGACCAAGGUUAGCAGCAGGCGCGAAAAUUAUCGAAGCCCGCCUAGGGGCGAUAGUGAGGAGACGUGUAUACGAAGUACGUGUAAAGACCGUACUAAUAACUGGAAGUCAAGUCUGGUGCCAGCAGCCGCG
rnacentral:rRNA from 1 species